CAAGUCCCUACGGAGACAGACUACAUAGUUAUUGUAGAUCGCUAUGAGCUCAAAAAACUGUUAUGCUUUGUCACUGAGAUAACGAAGGGAUUUGACAUUUAACACCUGGAAAAAGUAUAUGGCGUCAUUAAUCAGUGUAUUUACAACCAUAGAGAAGACUACGACAAAACCGAUUUGGUGGAGGUAAUUUUUGUUUUGAAUUCUAGCGCUUUCUGUCACUGUUACGCAGUAUUUGUGUGUUCUGGGAUAUCGUGGUUGUUUAGCAUUGCUCUUUACUGCUUAGCUGUCUGUGCAUAGACAACAACAGUACGACUUCUCCCUUUCAGUCUGGAAGACGUUUAUCCAUCUUGUAAAACCAUUGUUAUAUUUGGCAUAACUGUUGGCAGUUUCUGCAGGAAAAAGCUUGAACUUGAAGACAAUGGGUCCACCCACACAGCCCUUUCAAAGCAGUUAACCUUAGUCUGUCAGUAGUUUUCCUUGAGAACCAUUUUGGGAGUGGGAGGACUAUGAAGGGAAGGUGCUUUUCUAAGUCUUUCACUUGCUCUCUCCCUCUACAGCCAGUCAUGCACGGUGAUAGCAGUUGUUCCAUCCUUGGAGAGAAAUUUAAGUAUAUAACAAGAGUUUGAGACUUCUCUCUAGUCACACUCUAAUCUCUUUUUAACUAAUGCGCUUGAGCAUCUGUAAUUGGGGAGAUUUCUGCCUGUGCCAGUUUUACACUGAGUCAAAUUCUCUGGUCUCUUCCUGUAAAAGAUGA